rnacentral:rRNA from 1 species
GACGAACGCUGGCGGCGUGCUUAACACAUGUAAGUCGAACGGAAAGGCCCUGCUUUUGUGGGGUGCUCGAGUGGCGAACGGGUGAGUAACACGUGAGUAACCUGCCCUUGACUUUGGUAUAACUUCAGGAAACUGGUGCUAAUACCGGAUAUGAGCUCCUGCUGCAUGUUGUUGGUUGGAAAGUUUCGGCGGUUGGGGAUGGUCUCGCGGCUUAUCAGCUUGUUUGUGGGGUAGUGGCUUACCAAGGCUUUGACGGGUAGCCGGCCUGUGAGGGUUACCGGCGACAUUGGGACUGAGAUACGGACCAGAAUGCUACGGGAGGCAGAAGUGGGGAAUAUUGCACAAUGGGCGGAAGCCUGAUGCAGAAACGCCGCGUGCGGGAUGACGGCCUUCGGGUUGUAAACCGAUUUCGCAUGUGACGAAGCGUGAGUGACGGUAAUGGGUAAAGAAGCACCGGCUAACUACGUG